rfam:Macrostomum lignano uti_cns_0000314, whole genome shotgun sequence.
AAAACGGCCCUUUUCGGGGCCACCAAUCCAUUGCGUUUAGUAGGU